AUACAUCAAGAGAGAGCAAAAGCUCCACCAACCAGCCUAAAUCGGGCAACGGUGGUCCAAACGAUGUGGUUUUAGGUUAAAACCUUGAUAAAGGUACCAAAACAACAAUUCGAUUGAGGC
rnacentral:ncRNA from 1 species